CCUACGGGGCGCAGCAGUGGGGAAUAUUGGACAAUGGGGGGAACCCUGAUCCAGCGACGCCGCGUGAGUGAAGAAGUAUUUCGGUAUGUAAAGCUCUAUCAGCAGGGAAGAAAGAAAUGACGGUACCUGACUAAGAAGCCCCGGCUAACUACGUGCCAGCAGCCGCGGUAAUACGUAGGGGGCAAGCGUUAUCCGGAUUUACUGGGUGUAAAGGGAGCGUAGACGGCGAUGCAAGUCUGAAGUGAAAGGCGGGGGCGCAACCCCCGGACUGCUUUGGAAACUGUAUGGCUGGAGUGCAGGAGAGGUAAGUGGAAUUCCUAGUGUAGCGGUGAAAUGCGUAGAUAUUAGGAGGAACACCAGUGGCGAAGGCGGCUUACUGGACUGUAACUGACGUUGAGGCUCGAAAGCGUGGGGAGCAAACAGGAUUAGAUACCCGUGUAGUC
rnacentral:rRNA from 1 species